rnacentral:ncRNA from 1 species
UGGAAACAGAAAAUGAGAGCAGGACAGCACUCCCCUUGGACAGGAUGGAAGAGGUCCUAAUGAACUUAACCAUUAUUUAAGACUGUCACCUACUUUGUGGCAUCUAAUGGGUACCCUGG